rnacentral:misc_RNA from 1 species
CGCUGCUCCUCCCUUUCUGACACACACACACACACACACACACACGCAACGCAAAAAAAAAACGAAACAAGCAUAUUUUCGUUAUCUCUCUCAUAUCUCCCUAUCGGCUGUCACCGAUUCCCUCUCGAGGUCCGUCUGUGGCCUUUGCGUCCUCGCUUCACCUAUAUCGCACGCACGCACAGGUUGCGCAUGCUGACCCUCUUCCACGGCCCCUCCUCCCCUCCCCGCUCCAUUCCAAGUAGAUCAUACCACCAUCACUAGCAGCAACGGCAAGAACAAAGAAAAAAACGAACGAUAAUGCCCGCAUUCGGUAACAUGUUCCACAGAACGACGCCGGAGGAGGAGGUGCGCAAGUGGACGCGCAGUCUGCGCUCGGAGCAGCGCAAGAUUGAGCUUCAAAUCACCAAGAUCCGCCGCGAGGAGGCCAAGGUAAAGCUGUCGAUGAAGCAGGCAGCAAAGCAGAAUGACCAGGUGGUGAUGCGGAUGCUGGCGAAGGAGAUGAUUCGCUCUCGCAAGGCGGUGAACCGAAUGUACGCCUCGAAGGCGCAGAUGAACUCCGUGUCCAUGCAGUUGCAGAACCAGGUGAGUCAGAUGAAGAUGUCCGGCUCGCUCAAGAAAAGCAGCGAAAUUAUGAAAGAGAUGAACAGUCUCGUCAAGGUGAAGGAGAUUCAGCAAUCCAUGAUGGCGAUGAGCAAAGAAAUGGCCAGAGCAGGGCUGAUCGAGGAGAUUAUCAACGACACGAUCGAUGAGGCUCUGGACGACGACAUCAGCGACACAGAGCUCGAGGACGAGGUGAACAAGGUGGUGAUGGACGUGGUUCAGGGUCAGAUGGACGGCGCACGCGUCGGUGCCUCUCGUAUCCCGGCACAACAGCAGCAGCAGGAGGAGGCUGCGGAGGAAGAAGAGGAGGAUGAGCUCAUGGAGAAGUUCAAUGCGCUGCGCAACUCGUAAGCGGGUAAGAGGAACGGUGGCGAGUAAAGUGACAGUAGAAAUGUGGGUGUGGGGAAAAAAUGGGGAAGGAAGGGUGGAAAGAACGCGGAAGAGAUGUGCCUGCACUGCGCGCAAAAGAUCUUUCGAGCGCGAGUACAUCUGAAUAAUCAUCGCGCCGCUGGCUCGACUCUGUGCGGGCGCGCUUCAAUACAUGUUCCGCCUUGAUUAGCUUCUCUUUAGGUGGCGUGCUCAUCCGGCUCUCAAGCUCAGCGGUGAGGGAGAGGGGCUUGCAACGUUACGCCACGCCACGGCGCACUGACCUUGUGUUUCCGUCUGACAGACACUCGCAUCUCUUUGCUCGUUACUUUCUCUGUUACGUAGCCCUCUUGUUUUGCCCCGCACCGCGCCCUUAUCUGUUUUUUCCCUCAUCACUUCCAUUUUUUGUUUCCCUCUUCGCUGCACGUCCUCCUCCCUCCUCCCACCUCUUCCACACAAUCCUAUCGGCAUGGUACGCUCAAGUUUUUUUUCGUUUCCAUGGCUCUAGCGCGUCAGUCCAGCACGAGCAAGUCAGCAAGGAGUGCAUUUGAGGGCGAAGCAGAAACGUGCGCGCACCCUUCCCCCUCCCCCCACCUGCACCGGCACAGUCCACCUACUCUCACACGCGCGUCGCUGUGAGCUCUUUGAGCUCAACCCCUGCCUUUGUUGCUCUUUUCCUUGUUGUCCUUUUUUUUUCUCGAUCUUCUUGUCUCUGUGUUGCACGUCUUCAGCUUCCGUUCAUUCCCCCUCCCCACCGCCCUCGUCGCCUUUCCUAGCCUUCCCUGUUUUCAUUGCUCAUCUCAGCCGAUGGUUACAGCUGUCAGCCGCUGCGGGCACACUUCACUGCUGUUUCCUUCUCCCGCUCGCUCUCGACGUGCAUCUUUACGUGCCCAUCACCGAAUGCGAAGGGCAGAAAGAAAAGAGGAGGCGUUGCUGUGUUUUGUUGUUGGUGUGUGUGUGUGUGUGUGCUCUAUGCAUCGGCUCUCCCCUACCCACUCUCCCCGUGGUGGAGCUGAAGCGCUGAAUGCCUGUACGUGUGCAUGUCCGUGUGUGGCUUCUUUCUGUUGCUGUUUCCAUUUUUUAUUCGCUUUUCUUUUUCUUCUUUUCCUGCGCGAGUCUACUCAUUCCUCCCUGGGGAUGCGGAGCCACCGCACCGUGGUAUCACAGGGACCAGUACCCCACACUCCGUGGAGGACGCCAAGAGCCUGCAGCCUACCCUCGGGCACGGUUGCAGACACUUGGCCUCCGCGGACAGGCAUCGGCUGGUGCUGUGCCAAAGAGACUUGCUGCUGUGAUGUUUGCACCAGCUCACUGCGAAGCAUGUCAAGGAUUCAGUAAGUGUUGAGGAAGAGAUCCAGACCGAUCAGCACAACGGUGUACGUGCGCGAAAUGUGCGGCACCUACCACAUACCGAUCGGGGGGUCGAUGCGGCACGGAUGCCAAAAGCUUGAAAGGGGCACCCUCGAAUGGCACCAUCGAGCCCACCAGACUUUCAUGUGGAGAGUCUCCACGCCUUGUUAUGGAAUGUCCCGGCUUGAAACGACCCAAGGACCAGCAUGGCAUAGAGGCAGAGUGUGCAAGGUCUCAGAGUCCUGGCCUGAAGCUGGGCAACUACCUCCUCCAGCUCAUCGGGCGCAUGCGUAGCCCACACCCUACUGCCUGCACGGCAGACGCCACCGCUUCCACCCCCUCGAGCAGGCACCUAGGCGCGGCCCGCUUUUGAUCAAGCCUUGCAGCUCACCGAGGUCUGCCUCGUGCCGACCGCACAGCACUUACGCGAAGAAGGGACGAGAAAGGACAAGAGGAGCCCGCUAGAUGCAUGGCGGGAUUCAGCGACAGGACGGUUGGUCCUAGACGAGCAGCAUUUAGCCAUAGCGCAAGAGAGGAAGAUGAGGGGUGGCUGUGCAUGCGUGUAUACGUGCUGACGUGUUCGGUGUAGAAAGGGCACGUUAAAACCAAAACAAAUGAGCAACAACGCUUUCGCAGUGUCGCCUUAUCCCUCGCGCCUGGGCUGAGAGAGCAAGCGACGUAUCACGGCAUCGUUUUGCGUUGCGUGCGGACGCUGCCGAGAAG